rnacentral:rRNA from 1 species
AACGAACGCUGGCGGCAGGCUUAACACAUGCAAGUCGAGCGCCCCGCAAGGGGAGCGGCAGACGGGUGAGUAACGCGUGGGAAUCUACCCAUCUCUACGGAAUAACGCAUGGAAACGUGUGCUAAUACCGUAUACGUCCUUCGGGAGAAAGAUUUAUCGGAGAUGGAUGAGCCCGCGUUGGAUUAGCUAGUUGGUGGGGUAAAGGCCUACCAAGGCGACGAUCCAUAGCGGGUCUGAGAGGAUGAUCAGCCACACUGGGACUGAGACACGGCCCAGACUCCUAGGGGAGGCAGCAGUGGGGAAUAUUGGACAAUGGGCGCAAGCCUGCACCAGCCAUGCCGCGUGAGUGAUGAAGGCCCUAGGGUUGUAAAGCUCCUUCACCGGUGAAGAUAAUGACGGUAACCGGAGAAGAAGCCCCGGCUAACUUCGUGCCAGCCGCCGCCGUAAUAC